rfam:Chrysosporum ovalisporum strain TAM-MAO genome assembly, contig: 7034
UGGGCGGCCCGGGCCCCUCUGACGAUCAUGGUGAUCGUGAUGUCGGACCGCAUCG